AUUGAACGCUGGCGGAAUGCUUUACACAUGCAAGUCGAGCGGCAGCGCGGGGCAACCUGGCGGCGAGCGGCGAACGGGUGAGUAGUGUAUCGGAACGUGUCCUGUCAUGGGGGAUAGCCCGGUGAAAACCGGAUUAAUACCGCAUACGAUCGAGAGAUGAAAGUGGGGGACCGCAAGGCCUCACGCGAUAGGAGCGGCCGAUAUCUGAUUAGCUAGUUGGUGGGGUAAAGGCCCACCAAGGCUUCGAUCAGUAGCUGGUCUGAGAGGAUGAUCAGCCACACUGGGACUGAGACACGGCCCAGACUCCUACGGGAGGCAGCAGUGGGGAAUUUUGGACAAUGGGGGCAACCCUGAUCCAGCCAUUCCGCGUGAGUGAAGAAGGCCUUCGGGUUGUAAAGCUCUUUUGUCCGGGAAGAAACGGUUUUGGCUAAUAACCAAGACUACUGACGGUACCGGAAGAAUAAGGACCGGCUAACUACGUGCCAGCCGCCGCAGUAA
rnacentral:rRNA from 1 species